UAGUAAUCGUUAUAACAAGUUGUGUGUGAAAAUGACAAACCCAUGUACAAGAGACCUAACAUGAACUACAAAUGCACAAACCCAAAGUUUUAUUUUGAAGUGUGGAAUAGAACCGGUAGUCCGUCUUCUUUGUUCUCGUAAUUAGGUAGCUAAACGUUUCAGUUUAGUAGUAGAUGCAGCUUCAUUUUUUCGGUCACUGGCUAGCAGAAACGCCAGUGAUACCCGUGGUGAAUUAGCUUUGCCUGGAAGUUGACUUAAUACUUAGAACGCAAAAACACGUUGGUGUUUUUACAACGCUAUGCUGAAGUCGAGACACUUCAUGGCAUUAAUCGAUGCUAACCAGGAGGGCUCGCUAACCUUACUGUCUGACAGGCGAACUUAGCUAACGGCACCGAAGGUACGAAGACUGGAGUAACGUGUUUCGGGCGACUGUGAAAAAGAACCUUGUCAAGCAGUGGCGUUAAUGUUAGCUGGCGUUGAGCUGAAGGCCAGGUCAACUCUGCCAGUUCAUUUGAAGCUAGCUGAAGCGAAUGCGCUUAUAAAGCAAAGCGCCAUUACUGGAAACUACUGUAGAGGAAGCCAAGCUAAUCCAUGGUCAUGUAGACGAGAAGCUUGACUUAUCAAUGCUGUGACUUCAUUUUCAUAAAUGUAAGGGUGGGGUCACCCUUUCUCAUUGUUGGACUGCUCAAAACACACCCGCAGGCGUGUCCAUGGCCUGAAGACAUUAUUUAGUCCUAGCCUGAACCCUUGUGAACAAGUAUUACCACUUAACCCCUGGACUGGCAGUACAUGCAUACUUUUCUCAUAAGGUCACAAAGCUGCUCAUCUGACGCAAGGAAGAGCUGUGAACGGAGUGUGUGCUGACUUUAAUUUAACUCCACCAAAUUCAGCCAUAAAGCUAUGACUAUGGUAGACAGAGCAUGGGGGUGGGUGCGCUCUUGGGGCAGCACUUCUGUGUCAGGGAAUAUCACAGUGGUUACAGCUGAGGCCCAGAAGCAUGGCUGUGGUAGUCAGGGCCUAAGGGGCUGGAGCUCUUGGAUGUGGAGAGGUUGGAAAUGUCAGAGUGACAAAAGUAGUCCAGUAGAAGAGUACUGGGAGGCGCAGGAGAAGCUUCAGCCAAUGGAAAUUGAAGAUCUCAGUGCGGAGAAACAUGUGACACAGGCAAAUUCAGAGAAUAUUUCUAGUUGGUGGAAUAAAUAUCUCCCAACUUCUUACCUUUCAUGGCCAAGAAAAACAAGGCCAGGUGGACUAAGACAAAGGAAACAUGAUACAAGGGGAGGUGCGUGUGACCACAAUAUCGACGGGGACUUGUCUGACUACAGGACGCCACCUCCGUCCCCUACACCUCCAUCUUCUCAGUUGAUAUCUCCUUUUCGAUUCUUUAUGCACAGCUGGAAUGUGGAAGUGCUGCCAGAGCACUAUGAGAUCUGUUUCAACUUCCUACGCCACUUGUUUGACCUGUUUGUUGUUGGCUUUCUGUGGACUGUGUCCCCUCCUGCCAAGCUGAUCCUGGAGGUGUUGGGGGUCCAGGGCACAAUGAGACUGUGGUUUCAUGGUAUGGCCAUGUUUUUUGUCUCCACAGUCGGAAUGGCGGGAUUACUCUGGUUGAUCCAGGAGUAUCUUCCUCAGUUUGCUUUGAUCUAUGGUGUCGUACAGGCAUUGGUGAUCUCUGUCAGUAUUCGACAGAGUGUAAUGCUCAACACUGAGGAGGAAAAAGAAGGAAAGGACAAAGAAGGCAAGGAAACUGAUGAAAAAACAGAGUAGGGAACGAAGCUUUCCUGUUAAGGACAAGGUGAAGACCACUUAAAAUUAACGCUGUUGCAGCAGUGGAGACAGGGAGCCCAGGAGAAACUAAAGUCUGCCAGGAGCAUGUAGGGGAUCAGUUAGGUUGCAAACAAACAGCUGCCUGUUCAGGCUGUUUAAAAGUAAGUGCACCUGAAAUGUCUCUAAUAAUCCCUGUUUGGAAUGGAAAACAGUGUUUGCACAACUAGAAGAGUGUAGGUCAAAAUUGCAAGCAGAAGGCAGGUCUGUAAAUUGUAAUGGAGUUUUACAAUCCAUCCAUCCAUCCAUUUUCCUCCGCUUAUCCGGGACCAGGUCGCGGGGGCAGCAGUCUAAGCUUGCUUGCUUCGCUUUGCUUUGCUUGCUUUGCUUUGCUUAGUUUUACAAUAGUUUUGUUUAUAAUUCAGUUAUUUAACCGUGGCCACGUAGUCCCACUUGGAGCAUCAGAAGAGCUAUGUAUGGCUGCUCUUUGUGGAUUUUAGCUCCGCAUUCAACACCAUCCUCCCCCACAAACUGGUGGACCUGGGAAUUCCAUAUCCCACCUGCAUAUGGAUUAAGAGCUUCCUGUCCGGACGCAGCCAGAGGGUGAGACACAUCCACGGCUCUCAACCUCAGCACUGGUUCACCACAAGGCUGUGUGCUGAGCCCCCUGCUCUACACCCACCACGGCAACACCAUUGUAAAAUUUACUGAUGACACUAUGGUGGUGGGGCUUAUCUCUGGGGGGGAUGAGACUGCCUACAGGGAUGAGGUGGAGAGGCUGAUAGUGUGGUGCAGAGAGAACAAUCUGCUCCU